rnacentral:sRNA from 1 species
AUAGGUCGUUAGCUCAGUCGGUAGAGCAAUCAAUGGGUCGCAGGUUUGAGCCGAGCGAAGCGAGACAACAGCGCGUGAGCGCUGGCCCGAAGGGCGAGGCCGUAGGCCGAGUCAUCCUGCACGACCCACCA